GACGAACGCUGGCGGCGUGCCUAAUACAUGCAAGUAGAACGCUGAAGGAGGAGCUUGCUCUUCUGGAUGAGUUGCGAACGGGUGAGUAACGCGUAGGUAACCUGCCUGGUAGCGGGGGAUAACUAUUGGAAACGAUAGCUAAUACCGCAUAAGAGUAGAUGUUGCAUGACAUUUACUUAAAAGGUGCAAUUGCAUCACUACCAGAUGGACCUGCGUUGUAUUAGCUAGUUGGUGGGGUAACGGCUUACCAAGGCGACGAUACAUAGCCGACCUGAGAGGGUGAUCGGCCACACUGGGACUGAGACACGGCCCAGACUCCUACGGGAGGCAGCAGUAGGGAAUCUUCGGCAAUGGACGGAAGUCUGACCGAGCAACGCCGCGUGAGUGAAGAAGGGUUUCGGAUCGUAAAGCUCUGUUGUAAGAGAAGAACGAGUGUGAGAGUGGAAAGUUCACACUGUGACGGUAGGUUACCAGAAAGGGACGGCUAACUACGUG
rnacentral:rRNA from 1 species